rnacentral:rRNA from 1 species
CCUACGGGAGACUGCAGUGAGGAAUAUUGGUCAAUGGGCGGAAGCCUGAACCAGCCAAGUAGCGUGAGGGAUGAAGGUACAGAGUAUCGUAAACCUCUUUUGUCAGGGAACAAAGGCGGGGACGUGUCCCCGGAUGAGUGUACCUGAAGAAAAAGCAUCGGCUAACUCCGUGCCAGCAGCCGCGGUAAUACGGAGGAUGCGAGCGUUAUCCGGAUUUAUUGGGUUUAAAGGGUGCGCAGGCGGUCUGUUAAGUCAGCGGUCAAAGCCCGGGGCUCAACCCCGGCCCGCCGUUGAAACUGGCAGUCUCGAGUUGGAGAGAAGUAUGCGGAAUGCGCGGUGUAGCGGUGAAAUGCAUAGAUAUCGCGCAGAACUCCGAUUGCGAAGGCAGCAUGCCGGCUCCACACUGACGCUGAGGCACGAAAGCGUGGGUAUCGAACAGGAUUAGAUACCCCAGUAGUC